AUGCCAUGGUGUGUAAAUUUUCUAAACAGCUCUUUGAACCUUUCCUAUGCAUCAGGAACAGCUUCAUCAUCCAGUUGUUUGAAAAGACAUAUCUCAUUUCUGGACUU